CUCUGUCACCCAGGCUGGAGUGCAGUGGUAUGAUCUCGGCUCACUGCAACCUCCACUUCCUGGGUUCAAGCGAUUCUCCUGCCUCAGCCUCCUGAGUAGCUGGGACUACAGGUGCGUGCCACCAUGCCCUGCUAAUUUUUGUAUUUUUUAGUAGAGAUGGAGUUUCACUGUAUUGGCUGGGCUGGUCUCGAACUCCUGACCUUGUGAUCUGCCUGCCUCAGCCUCCCAAAGUGCUGGGAUUACAGGCAUGAGUCACUGUCUGGUGUUUCUUUUGAACAGUAAAUGAUAGUCUUUCAGAGUAAAGGUCAGAUUUUAAUGACUCUAUUGCUAUAGGGUCAAAUAAUGAAUUGUUUCCCUGCCCUGUCCUCUCUCCACUAUAGGAAAAAAGCACACAGGAGGGUGUGUAAACUCAAAGGAGCAGAGAUGCUGAAGGCAAAAUAGCUUCAUUUAGGCAAAUUUCUGCCUCUACAUGCUGUGGGACCAUAAAAAACAUGACCACUGUGGGCUCUGGGGCUCAGCACACCAGGUACCUCUGUGAGACUGCACAGAGCACACCUCAGAGUCAUUCCACUGGAGAGAAGAGGACGCUGGGGUGCUCAUGGACCAACUCUCAUUUGUCAUUGACACAACUCCCAGCAUCAUGGAAUGUCCUGCAAGCAGGAAAAGCAUGCUCAGCAGUUGGAGAGCCCCUUGGCGCAGUUGGAGAGCCCCUUGGCACAGUUGUAGAGGAUUGCAGUAAGAAGCUGCUGCCUGCACAGGAAAUGAAUCUGCCAUUGAAGAUUUGGGCACAGUACUAGUAUCUCCAAGAAGUUGAAGUUGUGUUUGGAGUUAGGCUGAUCCCUCUUCCUCUCGUUUGCAAAGCCCGACAAAGGGAACAGGCUAACAUAAUCAUAUGCUGUGAUCUGGUUUGUGCUCUCACCGGAUGGAUCCUGGAAACAGACCAUGGUAAUGGCUAAUCAGGGUGCUAGCAAAAGAGGUUGGUUGACAGAAGGGUGGUCAUGAGAUAUCACAGCCGGAAUUGUUUUAUUUCAAUUAGUUUUUGGGGAACAGGUGGUGUUUGGUUACAUGAAUAAGUUCUUUAGUGGUGAUUCAUGAGAUUUUGGUGCACCCAUCACCCAGGCAGUGUACACUAUACCCAAUAUGUAGUCUUUUAUGCAUCACCACACCCUUUUUCCCCCAAGUCCCCAAAAUCCAAUGUAUCAUUCUUAUGCAUUUGCAUCCUCAUAGCUUAACUCCCACAUAUGAGUGAAAACAUAUAAUGUUUGGUUUUCCAUUCCUGAGUUACUUUACU